UACGGGGGGUGCGAGCGUUGUCCGGAAUCACUGGGCGUAAAGGGCGCGUAGGUGGUUUGAUAAGGGUGUGGUGAAAGUCCGGGGCUCAACCCCGGAUCUGCCGUGCCGACUGUCAAACUCGAGGACCGUAGAGGCAGACGGAAUUCCGGGUGUAGCGGUGGAAUGCGUAGAGAUCCGGAGGAAGACCGGUGGCGAAGGCGGUCUGCUGGGCAGUUUCUGACACUGAGGCGCGACAGCGUGGGGAGCAAGCAGG
rnacentral:rRNA from 1 species